rnacentral:lncRNA from 1 species
GAUCCGAGCUACGAGGCAUUCCCCUACCAGUGAUAUUGUGCCAUCUUCUCUGCUUUGACUUCACUUGUAAUAGCACAUUCCGGUUGUAUUUUGAAUUAGAUAUAUGCUAUGAACAUGUCAUGCAUUAUCAUUAUCAUUUUAUGGACGGCUAAAUACUAUUAUAUUAUGUAGUUCGAGCAAAAUUUAUAUGCAUGUUUUCUCAUGUUCUUGGCAUAUGCAUUCAUUAAAUGGCUUACGUCACCCU